GGAUCGUUGGUUUAGGGGUAUGAUUCCUGCUUCGCGUGCAGGAGGUCCCGGGUUCAAAUCCCGGACGAGCCC
rnacentral:tRNA from 1 species